CCUAGACCUACUAAAUCAGAACUAAAAAGUAUGUUACCUCAAUCCUCUGAUAAUGUUUGAGCAGCAGUUCUCUGACUCAUUCCUAUAGAUUUGAAUUUCAUUCUCUUUCAGGCACACACAUUCAGCCAGCCCUUCCUGGUUGAUUUCUCAAGAUUUCACUGGCCCCCCAUGGCUCCAUGCAGGCUUUUGCCUGUUUGUCCUAUGAAGGCUAAUCUGCUUCCAGGGUCUGCAGGCACCUUCGAGGCCUGAGACCAGUCACUAAGAUGUCUGGGCCCUUGGAUGUCAGUGAGACCAUCUGAAGUACUGUUGAUUUCUCUUGGUGGCUAUUUCUGUUUCUACCAAUGGCUGUGAACAGGCACUUGAGACCUUUGACCAAACAUAGCACAACAAGGAGACUGCAAUGAUGACCAUUAGGAGGAUAUCACCAGGAGACUGAAAAAAAAUGAAAGAUGAAGAAUCAUUUCCUUGGAAAGGCCAAUCCAAAAAAGAAGAACUCAAUCUGUUGGUAAUCAUCUUUACAUUCCUAUUAUGCAUCUAGAGGCCUAUUCAGAUAUUCAUACCAUGUGCUUCAGAGGAAGGAUUUCACAGAAUGUUUUGAUUUGGAUGACUGGUAGGAGAAAUGGGAGAAGACUGUUUAUAGACCUAAAAUGAGACCUAGAAGAGGAAGUCCCCACAGGAGACAGAGCAAGACAAGGAAGAAAUGCCUCAAAAAGAGAUGGGGAAUUAAAGAGGAAAAUCUUGUGAAUGUUUUUAUGCUAUAAUAAGGAAUUUGAUUCAAGGUCACUGAUAGUGACGCAUCAAGACUAACUGUCACUAUGACUUGAUGAAUAAUCAAGCUAGUAUGUUACAAUUUUUUUUAAAUAAAUGGAGUUCUAUAACUUUGGUUAAUAAAAGUCUACAACUAGUAGCCCUU
rnacentral:lncRNA from 1 species